GGUUAAGCGACUAAGCGUACACGGUGGAUGCCCUGGCAGUCAGAGGCGAUGAAGGACGUGCUAAUCUGCGAUAAGCGUCGGUAAGGUGAUAUGAACCGUUAUAACCGGCGAUUUCCGAAUGGGGAAACCCAGUGUGUUUCGACACACUAUCAUUAACUGAAUCCAUAGGUUAAUGAGGCGAACCGGGGGAACUGAAACAUCUAAGUACCCCGAGGAAAAGAAAUCAACCGAGAUUCCCCCAGUAGCGGCGAGCGAACGGGGAGCAGCCCAGAGCCUGAAUCAGUGUGUGUGUUAGUGGAAGCGUCUGGAAAGGCGCGCGAUACAGGGUGACAGCCCCGUACACAAAAAUGCACAUAUUGUGAGCUCGAUGAGUAGGGCGGGACACGUGGUAUCCUGUCUGAAUAUGGGGGGACCAUCCUCCAAGGCUAAAUACUCCUGACUGACCGAUAGUGAACCAGUACCGUGAGGGAAAGGCGAAAAGAACCCCGGCGAGGGGAGUGAAAAAGAACCUGAAACCGUGUACGUACAAGCAGUGGGAGCCUCUUUUAUGGGGUGACUGCGUACCUUUUGUAUAAUGGGUCAGCGACUUAUAUUCUGUAGCAAGGUUAACCGAAUAGGGGAGCCGAAGGGAAACCGAGUCUUAACUGGGCGUUAAGUUGCAGGGUAUAGACCCGAAACCCGGUGAUCUAGCCAUGGGCAGGUUGAAGGUUGGGUAACACUAACUGGAGGACCGAACCGACUAAUGUUGAAAAAUUAGCGGAUGACUUGUGGCUGGGGGUGAAAGGCCAAUCAAACCGGGAGAUAGCUGGUUCUCCCCGAAAGCUAUUUAGGUAGCGCCUCGUGAAUUCAUCUCCGGGGGUAGAGCACUGUUUCGGCAAGGGGGUCAUCCCGACUUACCAACCCGAUGCAAACUGCGAAUACCGGAGAAUGUUAUCACGGGAGACACACGGCGGGUGCUAACGUCCGUCGUGAAGAGGGAAACAACCCAGACCGCCAGCUAAGGUCCCAAAGUCAUGGUUAAGUGGGAAACGAUGUGGGAAGGCCCAGACAGCCAGGAUGUUGGCUUAGAAGCAGCCAUCAUUUAAAGAAAGCGUAAUAGCUCACUGGUCGAGUCGGCCUGCGCGGAAGAUGUAACGGGGCUAAACCAUGCACCGAAGCUGCGGCAGCGACACUAUGUGUUGUUGGGUAGGGGAGCGUUCUGUAAGCCUGUGAAGGUGUGCUGUGAGGCAUGCUGGAGGUAUCAGAAGUGCGAAUGCUGACAUAAGUAACGAUAAAGCGGGUGAAAAGCCCGCUCGCCGGAAGACCAAGGGUUCCUGUCCAACGUUAAUCGGGGCAGGGUGAGUCGACCCCUAAGGCGAGGCCGAAAGGCGUAGUCGAUGGGAAACAGGUUAAUAUUCCUGUACUUGGUGUUACUGCGAAGGGGGGACGGAGAAGGCUAUGUUGGCCGGGCGACGGUUGUCCCGGUUUAAGCGUGUAGGCUGGUUUUCCAGGCAAAUCCGGAAAAUCAAGGCUGAGGCGUGAUGACGAGGCACUACGGUGCUGAAGCAACAAAUGCCCUGCUUCCAGGAAAAGCCUCUAAGCAUCAGGUAACAUCAAAUCGUACCCCAAACCGACACAGGUGGUCAGGUAGAGAAUACCAAGGCGCUUGAGAGAACUCGGGUGAAGGAACUAGGCAAAAUGGUGCCGUAACUUCGGGAGAAGGCACGCUGAUAUGUAGGUGAAGUCCCUUGCGGAUGGAGCUGAAAUCAGUCGAAGAUACCAGCUGGCUGCAACUGUUUAUUAAAAACACAGCACUGUGCAAACACGAAAGUGGACGUAUACGGUGUGACGCCUGCCCGGUGCCGGAAGGUUAAUUGAUGGGGUCAGCGCAAGCGAAGCUCUUGAUCGAAGCCCCGGUAAACGGCGGCCGUAACUAUAACGGUCCUAAGGUAGCGAAAUUCCUUGUCGGGUAAGUUCCGACCUGCACGAAUGGCGUAAUGAUGGCCAGGCUGUCUCCACCCGAGACUCAGUGAAAUUGAACUCGCUGUGAAGAUGCAGUGUACCCGCGGCAAGACGGAAAGACCCCGUGAACCUUUACUAUAGCUUGACACUGAACAUUGAGCCUUGAUGUGUAGGAUAGGUGGGAGGCUUAGAAGUGUGGACGCCAGUCUGCAUGGAGCCGACCUUGAAAUACCACCCUUUAAUGUUUGAUGUUCUAACGUUGACCCGUAAUCCGGGUUGCGGACAGUGUCUGGUGGGUAGUUUGACUGGGGCGGUCUCCUCCUAAAGAGUAACGGAGGAGCACGAAGGUUGGCUAAUCCUGGUCGGACAUCAGGAGGUUAGUGCAAUGGCAUAAGCCAGCUUGACUGCGAGCGUGACGGCGCGAGCAGGUGCGAAAGCAGGUCAUAGUGAUCCGGUGGUUCUGAAUGGAAGGGCCAUCGCUCAACGGAUAAAAGGUACUCCGGGGAUAACAGGCUGAUACCGCCCAAGAGUUCAUAUCGACGGCGGUGUUUGGCACCUCGAUGUCGGCUCAUCACAUCCUGGGGCUGAAGUAGGUCCCAAGGGUAUGGCUGUUCGCCAUUUAAAGUGGUACGCGAGCUGGGUUUAGAACGUCGUGAGACAGUUCGGUCCCUAUCUGCCGUGGGCGCUGGAGAACUGAGGGGGGCUGCUCCUAGUACGAGAGGACCGGAGUGGACGCAUCACUGGUGUUCGGGUUGUCAUGCCAAUGGCACUGCCCGGUAGCUAAAUGCGGAAGAGAUAAGUGCUGAAAGCAUCUAAGCACGAAACUUGCCCCGAGAUGAGUUCUCCCUGAGACUUAAAGUCUCCUGAAGGAACGUUGAAGACGACGACGUUGAUAGGCCGGGUGUGUAAGCGCAGCGAUGCGUUGAGCUAACCGGUACUAAUGAACCGUGAGGCUUAACCUU
rnacentral:rRNA from 1 species